rnacentral:tRNA from 1 species
GGGAAUGUGGCUUAAUGGUAAAAUGCUUGCCUUGCAUGCAUGAAGCCCUGAGUUCAAUUCCUCAGCUCCA